rnacentral:rRNA from 1 species
CCAAAAACGGUUAAUCCUUUAAAGGCCAUUUGUUCUUGUGCUACCUUUAUGUAUUGUACACCAUCAUGGAAUUUAUUGAUAAGCCAGUUGAGAAAAUUUAUAAUCUAAGAAAUUAGGAAUAUGUAACCAAUUUAACUAACGACUAUUAAAGUGCCAGCAGUCGCGGUCAUACUUUAGUUGAAAUAAAAUUAAUUAGGACAUGUGUAAGUAAUUUUAACUACCUGUAGUGAAAUACGGUAAAACACACUUUAAUACUUAAAAAUUCAAUUAACACUGAUAACAAACAGGGAUUAGAUACCCCUUUAUGCAGUUAGUAAACCACGUCCUGGGCACUACAAUUAAUAAAUUAAAACCCAACGAACAUGGCGGUAGUUUAAAUAUUUAGGGGAACUUACUAAAUAAAUGAUAACCACCAAGAAUAUGUACGUUAAGUUAAAUUUUACAUACCGUCGUCGCCAGAUAUCCUAAAAUAAGAUAUCAAAAUAUAAUAACAAUAAAAGGACAGAUCAAGGUGUAGACCAUCUCAACGUUUAAGCGAGUUACAAUAUUUUUUAUUUCCGUAAACUAGUUAUAUAGCUACUUACAGUCGGACUUAAAAGUAAUAGUUAUAAAAAUACAGUAUGAAUACUUUUAAUCUGUGC